UUUUUUUUUUUGUCAUCACAAUAACUAGAUUUACAAGUUUCUCGUAAACAAACUCUCCACUAGAAAGAGUCAUUAUGUAAAUAGUCAGAUCUUCUCUUGCCAGGGGACAAUGGCGGACCCAAAAUAAUUUUUACGGGAGUCAUUAAUAUUAGUUAUAAAAUAAUUUCCUUUAAACACUAUAAUUAUUUUUAUGAAAUACAUAUAUAAACAAAAAUUCCCAACAUAAGUGGUUGUGAUUUCAAUAACAUUUGAAAACUUGACUAAA
rnacentral:lncRNA from 1 species